rnacentral:tRNA from 1 species
CAGGACGUAGCUCAGCUUGGUAGAGCGCUUGGUUCGGGACCAAGAGACCGUGGGUUCGAAUCCCAUCGUCCUGACCA